rnacentral:rRNA from 1 species
UACGUAGGGUGCGAGCGUUGUCCGGAAUUAUUGGGCGUAAAGAGCUCGUAGGCGGUGUGUCACGUCGGCCGUGAAAACCUGCAGCUUAACUGUGGGCGUGCGGUCGAUACGGGCAUCACUGGAGUUCGGCAGGGGAGACUGGAAUUCCUGGUGUAGCGGUGAAAUGCGCAGAUAUCAGGAGGAACACCGGUGGCGAAGGCGGGUCUCUGGGCCGAUACUGACGCUGAGGAGCGAAAGCGUGGGGGAGCAAACGGG